rnacentral:lncRNA from 1 species
AAAAACUCCUUACGUAGCCGUUCUAGUUCCGCAGGGCCCCCAAACUUAGCUAGGAACAACUUUGACCGUGCGAUUUCAAGCGUUAUGUGCCAGGAUGAAAACUGACUCUGGUUUGUAUGCAUAGCGACAGUAAUUAUACCACCAUUAUUGAAAUGCUCUGGUGCUGGGCGUGGCGUCUCGGCGACUUCACGGGCUGGUCGUCGUGAAACUGACCGGGAAACAGCCGGCAGACAGCAAACAAAUUCACGGUUGUACGCAGCAGUGACUGAAAGUUUUGCCGACCUUUGCUUUGUAAUUCCCAGUCUGCUAGUUAAAGGAGCCGAGGCCUGGUCUCGGAGCCCGAUAGUACGAGCACUUUAAACAUUUCCG